rnacentral:rRNA from 1 species
CCUACGGGUGGCAGCAGUGAGGAAUAUUGGUCAAUGGGCGCGAGCCUGAACCAGCCAAGUCGCGUGAGGGAAGACGGUCCUGUGGAUUGUAAACCUCUUUUGUCGGGGAGCAAAGAACGCCACGCGUGGCGUUCCGAGAGUACCCGAAGAAAAAGCAUCGGCUAACUCCGUGCCAGCAGCCGCGGUAAUACGGAGGAUGCGAGCGUUAUCCGGAUUUAUUGGGUUUAAAGGGUGCGCAGGCGGAAUAUCAAGUCAGCGGUAAAAGUGAGGGGCUCAACCCCUUCGAGCCGUUGAAACUGGUUUUCUCGAGUGAGAGAGAAGUAUGCGGAAUGCGUGGUGUAGCGGUGAAAUGCAUAGAUAUCACGCAGAACUCCGAUUGCGAAGGCAGCAUACCGGCGCUCAACUGACGCUGAUGCACGAAAGUGUGGGUAUCGAACAGGAUUAGAUACCCUGGUAGUC